UGGGGAAUAUUGGGCAAUGGGCGCAAGCCUGACCCAGCAAUGCCGCGUGAAGGAAGAAGGCUUUCGGUUGUAAACUUCUUUGACAGGGGAAGAGCAGAAGACGGUACCCUGAAAACAAGCCACGGCUAACUACGUGCC
rnacentral:rRNA from 1 species